rnacentral:misc_RNA from 1 species
UGAUGGAGGAGUGAUUUACUGGUACUAUUUCGCUUGGUUGCCGACUUACGUGUGGGUUGA